rnacentral:rRNA from 1 species
CAUUGACAUCGACAUCUUGAACGCAUAUGGCGGCCUCGGGUCCAUCCCGGGGCCACGCCCGUCUGAGGGUCGGCU